UACCCGCUGAGUUUAAGCAUAUCAAUAAGCGGAGGAAAAGAAACUAACAAGGAUUCCCCUAGUAACGGCGAGCGA
rnacentral:rRNA from 2 species